rnacentral:rRNA from 1 species
UACGGUCAAGCUACCAAGGGCGCACGGUGGAUGCCUAGGCGCUGGGAGGCGAGGAAGGACGUGGACAGCUGCGAUAAGCCCCGGGGAGCCGCUAACAGGCAUAGAUCCGGGGACCUCCGAAUCGGGAAACCGGCGCGGGGUAAUGCCCGCGCACCCGCCGCCGAAUCCAUAGGCGGCGCGGAGCGAACGCGGUGAACUGAACCAUCUCAGUAGCCGCAGGAACAGAAAGCAAAGCCGCGAUUCCCCUAGUAGCGGCGAGCGAACGGGGAACAGCCCAAACCGAGCUUAUGCAAGCCCGCAGGCGUUGUAGGCUCGGGGUCGUGGGGGCCUCCGGGGACGCUGCGGAUUCCCCAGGAAGUUACAAAGCGGCCGGGUAGGCGAAGGGUCUGGAAAGGCCCGCCAGAGAAGGUAACAGCCCUGUAGACGAAACCCGGUCGCCUUCCGAGGAUUCCCCAAGUACCGCAGGACACGUGCAAUCCGGCGGGAAUUCGGGAGGACCAUCUCCCAAGGCUAAAUACUACCCAGCGACCGAUAGUGAACAAGUACCGUGAGGGAAAGGUGAAAAGAACCCCUGUUAGGGGAGUGAAAUAGUACCUGAAACCGUGCGUCUACAAGCAGUGGGAGCACUAUGGCCUUCGGGCAAUGUGCGACCGCGUACCUUUUGCAUCAUGACCCUGCUAGUUACGCUACGUGGCAAGGUUAAGCCGCGAGGUGGAGCCGCAGACAAAGCGAGUCCGAACAGGGCGCUCGAGUCGCGUGGCGUAGACCCGAAACCAGGUGAUCUACCCAUGGCCAGGGUGAAGCGUGGGUAAUACCACGUGGAGGCCCGAACUCACUAGGGUUGAAAACCUAGGGGAUGAGCUGUGGGUGGGAGUGAAAGGCUAAUCAAACUUGGAGAUAGCUGGUUCUCCCCGAAACAUAUUGAGGUAUGGCCUCGUGCGUUCCGCACCGGAGGUAGAGCACUGGAUGGGCUAGGGGUCCUACCAGAUUACCAAACCCAACCAAACUCCGAAUGCCGGUGACGCCAGCACGGGAGACAGACGGCGGGUGAUAAGAUCCGUCGUCGAGAGGGAAAGAGCCCAGACCGCCAGCCAAGGCCCCCAAAUCGAUGCUCAGUGGGAAAGGAAGUGGGAACGCUCAGACAACCAGGAGGUUGGCUUAGAAGCAGCCAUCCUUUGAAGAAAGCGUAACAGCUCACUGGUCAAGCGGUCUCGCGCCGAAAAUCCAACGGGGCUAAGCAUCGUGCCGAAGCUGCGGGUCCGUCGCAAGACGGGCGGUAGGGGAGCAUUCUCAGGCAGACACGUGUCGUACCGUGAGGAGCGAUUCAGGGCCUGAGAAGGGAUAAUGCAGGGAUGAGUAGCGAGAAAAGGGGUGAGAAGCCCCUUCGCCGUAAGCCAAAGGAUUCCUGGGGAAGGAUCAUCCUCCCAUGGGUUAGUCGGUACCUAAGCCGAGGCCGAAAGGCGUAGGUGAUGGGGAGCAGGCUAAUAUUCCUGCACCACCUUGGUGCGCCAGCCUGAGAGGGGACGGAGAAGGGUAGGCUCGUGCCGGCGGGUUGUUGCGCCGGCUCAAACCCGUAGGGGGGCGCUCCAGGACCCGAAAGGGACAAACGGAGCGCCACCAACCCCGAGAGGUGAUGAGGUGGCCGUAUGGCCAACAACGGAGUGAUCCCAGGCUCCCGAGAAAAGCCUCGCAGGUUGCACUGAGGUGACCGUACCGCAAACCGACUCUGGUGGGCGGGGAGAGUAUCCCAAGGCGCGUGGGAGAACCCAGGCUAAGGAACUCGGCAAAAUGACACCGUAACUUCGGGAGAAGGUGUGCCUCUCCUCGUGAAGGGACUUGCUCCCCGAGCGUCGAGGGGUCGCAGAGAAACGGGGGUUGCGACUGUUUACUAAAAACACAGGACUCUGCGAAGUCGCAAGACGACGUAUAGGGUCUGACGCCUGCCCGGUGCCGGAAGGUUAAGGGGACCCGUCAGCGCAAGCGAAGCGGGGAACCGAAGCCCCGGUAAACGGCGGCCGUAACUAUAACGGUCCUAAGGUAGCGAAAUUCCUUGUCGGGUAAGUUCCGACCUGCACGAAUGGCGUAACGACAUCCCCACUGUCUCGGCCUGGGACCCAGCGAAAUUGAACUGGCUGUGAAGAUGCAGCCUACCCGCGGCAAGACGGAAAGACCCCGUGAACCUUUACUGCAACUCGGCAGUGACUUUUGGUUCUGUCUGUGUAGGAUAGGUGGGAGGCUUUGAAGCCGGGGCGCCAGCCUCGGUGGAGCCAACGUUGAAAUACCACCCUGACUGAACUGGAAGUCUAACCUUGGCCCGUCAGCCGGGUCGGGGACACUGCCCGGUGGGCAGUUUGACUGGGGCGGUCGCCUCCCAAACGGUAACGGAGGCGCACGAAGGUUCCCUCAGGCUGGUCGGAAAUCAGCCGUCGAGUGCAAAGGCAUAAGGGAGCUUGACUGCGAGACCGACAGGUCGAGCAGGUGGGAAACCAGGUCUUAGUGAUCCGGUGGUCCCGCAUGGAAGGGCCAUCGCUCAUCGGAUAAAAGGUACUCCGGGGAUAACAGGCUGAUCGCGCCUGAGAGUUCACAUCGGCGGCGCGGUUUGGCACCUCGAUGUCGGCCCAUCGCAUCCUGGGGCUGGAGCAGGUCCCAAGGGUUUGGCUGUUCGCCAAUUAAAGCGGUACGCGAGCUGGGUUUAGAACGUCGUGAGACAGUUCGGUCCCUAUCUGCCGUGGGCGCAGGAUGCUUGAGGGGACUCGUCCUGAGUACGAAAGGAACUGGACGAACGGACCUCUGGUUUGCCGGUUGUCUCGCUCGAGGCACUGCCGGGUAGCCAUGUUCGGACCGGAUAACUGCUGAAAGCAUCUAAGCGGGAAGCCGACCCCAAGAUGAGGCAUCCCCUGGACUUCGGUCCACUGAAGGCCCCUCGGAGACUACGAGGUUGAUAGGCGGGAGGUGCAUGCUGACCCGUACUAAUCGGCCGUGCGGCUUGACCGUAU